rnacentral:ncRNA from 2 species
CCGCACGCGUCGGGAGAGCGCGUGGCCGCUGGUUUUGCGCGCCGCGCCGCCGAAGGGGCAAACCCGCAAACUCUCAGGCAAAAGGACCGGCCGCGUCGAA